rnacentral:tRNA from 1 species
GUUUAUAUAGUUUAAAUAAAAAUUUUGGUUUGUGGUUCCAAAGAUAAAUUGUUUUAUAAACA